UACAGAGGUCUCGAGCGUUAGGCGGAAUCACUGGGCUUAAAGCGUGUGUAGGCGGAUUGGUAAGUACCUUGUGAAAUCCCACGGCUUAACCGUGGAACUGCUUGGUAUACUGCCUGUCUUGAGCCAGCUAGGGGCGACCGGAACAAAUGGUGGAGCGGUGAAAUGCGUAGAUAUCAUCAGGAACACCAGAGGCGAAGGCGGCUCACUGGGUCUCUUCUGACGCUGAGGAACGAAAGCUAGGGGAGCAAACGGG
rnacentral:rRNA from 1 species